UGGGGAAUAUUGCACAAUGGGCGCAAGCCUGAUGCAGCCAUGCCGCGUGUAUGAAGAAGGCCUUCGGGUUGUAAAGUACUUUCAGCGAGGAGGAAGGCAUUAAGGUUAAUAACCUUGGUGAUUGACGUUACUCGCAGAAGAAGCACCGGCUAACUCCGUGCCAGCAGCCGCGGUAAUACGGAGGGUGCAAGCGUUAAUCGGAAUUACUGGGCGUAAAGCGCACGCAGGCGGUCUGUCAAGUCGGAUGUGAAAUCCCCGGGCUCAACCUGGGAACUGCAUUCGAAACUGGCAGGCUAGAGUCUUGUAGAGGGGGGUAGAAUUCCAGGUGUAGCGGUGAAAUGCGUAGAGAUCUGGAGGAAUACCGGUGGCGAAGGCGGCCCCCUGGACAAAGACUGACGCUCAGGUGCGAAAGCGUGGGGAGCAAACAGG
rnacentral:rRNA from 1 species